rnacentral:rRNA from 1 species
AUUGAACGCUGGCGGCAGGCCUAACACAUGCGAGUCGAGCGGAUGAAGGGAGCUUGCUCCUGGAUUCAGCGGCGGACGGGUGAGUAAUGCCUAGGAAUCUGCCUGGUAGUGGGGGAUAACGUCCUGAAACGGGCGCUAAUACCGCAUACGUCCUGAGGGAGAAAGUGGGGGAUCUUCGGACCUCACGCUAUCAGAUGAGCCUAGGUCGGAUUAGCUAGUUGGUGGGGUAAAGGCCUACCAAGGCGACGAUCCGUAACUGGUCUGAGAGGAUGAUCAGUCACACUGGAACUGAGACACGGUACAGACUCAUACGGGAGGCAGCAGUGGGGAAUAUUGGACCAUGGGCGAAAGCCUGAUCCAGCCAUGCCGCGUGUGUGAAGAAGGCCUUCGGAUUGUAAAGCACUUUAAGUUGGGAGGAAGGGCAGUAAGUUAAUACCUUGCUGUUUUGACGUUACCAACAGAAUAAGCACCGGCUAACUUCGUG